rnacentral:rRNA from 1 species
UUUUAGAAAUUAAUUUAAAGUCUAACCUGCCCACUGAAUAAUUUUAAAUGGCCGCAGUAUCCUAACUGUGCAAAGGUAGCAUAAUCAUUAGUCUUUUAAUUGAAGGCUGGAAUGAAUGGUUGGAUGAAAUAUUAACUGUUUCAUAUAAAUUUAUAAUAGAAUUUUAUUUUUUAGUCAAAAAGCUAAAAUUUUAUUAAAAGACGAGAAGACCCUAUAAAUCUUUAUACUUUUUUAAUUUUAAUUAUUUAGAUAAAUUAAAUUAUAAUUAUCAAAAGUAUUUUAUUGGGGUGAUAUUAAAAUUUAAUAAACUUUUAAUUUAUAUUAUACAUAAAUUAAUGAAUUAUUGAUCCAUUUAUUAUGAUUAAAAAAUUAAGUUACUUUAGGGAUAACAGCGUAAUUUUUUUAGAGAGUUCAUAUUGAUAAAAAAGAUUGCGACCUCGAUGUUGGAUUAAGAUAUAAUUUUAGGUGCAGUAGCUUAAAUUUAAAGUCUGUUCGACUUUUAAAUUCUUACA